AUCGAAAGAUGAAAAGCACUUUGGAAAGAGAGUUAAACAGUACGUGAAAUUGUUGAAAGGGAAGCGCUUGCAACCAGACUUGGGCGCUGCCGAUCACCAAGAGUUCGUCUCGAGUGCACUCGACAGCGCACAGGCCAGCAUCGGUUCGGGUGGCUGGAUAAAGGCCGUAGGAACGUGGCUCCCUUCGGGGAGUGUUAUAGCCUACGGUGCCAUGCAGCCCAGCCGGACCGAGGACCGCGCCUUCGGGCUAGGAUGCUGGCGUAAUGGUUGUAAGCGACCCGUCUUGAAACACGGACCAAGGAGUCUAACAUCUAUGCGAGUGUUUGGGUGAUAAAACCCAUACGCGGAAUGAAAGUGAACGUAGGUGAGAACCCCCUUGGGGCGCAUCAUCGACCGAUCCUGAUGUCUUCGGAUGGAUUUGAGUAAGAGCAUAGC
rnacentral:rRNA from 1 species